UACGAAGGGGGCUAGCGUUGUUCGGAAUUACUGGGCGUAAAGCGUAUGUAGGCGGAUCGUUAAGUCGGGGGUGAAAUCCCGAGGCUCAACCUCGGAACUGCCUUCGAUACUGGCGAUCUUCGAGUCCGGGAGAGGUGAGUGGAACUCCGAGUGUAGAGGUGAAAUUCGUAGAUAUUCGCAAGAACACCAGUGGCGAAGGCGGCUCACUGGCCCGGUACUGACGCUGAGGUGCGAAAGCGUGGGGAGCAAACAGG
rnacentral:rRNA from 1 species